rnacentral:lncRNA from 1 species
AUGGCAGGGGUCCGGCAGCGUGGGGUGGGGCUGGCGGGGUUGGGACCACCGGAGCCCCCCAAGCCUGGCCCGGGGAAGCGGGUGGGGGGAUCCGGCCGGGGCGGGGGCGCGGGCAGCGCCUCCCCCCGCCGCCCCCGCCCCCUGCAGCCCUCCCCUCCCCUCCUCCCGCUCCUUUCCCCUCCUCCUUCGCCUGCUCGCCCGCACAGCCCGGGGCAGCCGCCGCCGUCCCGGUCCGGGCUGCGGUGCUCCGGUUCCGCUCCGGUUCCGCUCCGGUUCCCAUGCGGUGCAGCCCCGCGGCCCCCCGCGCCCAUGGCCCGGCUCUCGGUCAAGGAGCACCUGGACGGGAUCCUCUCCGACUUCGAAGCGCUCAAGAAGUCGUUUGAGGCGGAGGACACGGAGGAUGUGGACGAGGUGCCCGGCUCCCCUGCUGCGUCCCCGCUGCCCUCGGGUGCCGUCGAGAGCCACCGGUUGCUGCAGCCCAGCCCCGUGCCCCGCAUGGGCAGCGGCCCCAGCCCGUCCCACAGCCCGCUGCUGCGGAGCCGGCUCAGCACCAGCCUCACCGCCAACCGGGGCCCCAGCGGCAGCGGCAUCGCCCGCGUCGCCUCCUUCCAGACCCGCCCGGGGCCGGGCAGCGACGGCGAGAGCCUGCGCAGCUCCUCCUCCAGCCUGGAGAGCCCCGCGCCCCCCCGGCCGCCGGGAGCCCCCCCAGCCACCAGCCCCGGCCUGAAGAAGGUGCCGUCCCACGGCAGCGUCUUCCCGGCAGAGCCAGAGCGUCCUCUCCACGUGGCCACCGGCCACGGCUCGCUGCCGGCGCUGGACCUGCACAUCGCCGAGGAGCCGGGGGUCCCCCCGCCAGCCUCGCGCCCCCCGCUGCCGUGGGGUGCCCGCAGUCCCAUCACCCAGCCCCGUGCCUGCUGCCCUUCCUCCCCCUCUUCCUCCUCUUCACCCACCGAGGUGGCCCCGGGGCCGCCCCGGACGCAGCUCAGGGUCUGUCUCAGCGCCAGCCCCCGCCUGGCCCGCCCGCCCCCCCGGGGCCCAGGGGACGCCACCCUUGCUGCCCCCAUGGCCGCCGACCCCGGCGAGGGGCUGUCCAUGCUGCCAGCCCCCCAAGCAGCCCCCUUCAAGCUGGUGUCCCAGCCACAGACGGUGCAAGUGAGCUCCCAGCCCACCUUCCUCGGGGGGCUGGUGCUGAUGUCGGGGACCCCAGCAGCACCAAGGGAUGGAACUGGCACCGGUCCCCUCGUGGGGAACUCUUCCAGUGCCACCUCGGUGGGGCCACAGGGGCCCAGUGAGGCUGCGGAUGGCUGCUGCGCCCCAGGGACGCCGGAGCAUGGUAGGACUCGCUCCCCUCUGUCCCUCCCUCCUGUCCCCACCGGGACCCCUUUGCUGUCGGUGAUCCCCGAGGCGCACUGUGUGCCCUGGUGCUGGUGCCACCUUGAGCCACCCCGGCUGGUGCUAGGGACGUGGCCAUGGCAGUGCCCCGCUGGGGACACUGCCACUGUCACCAGUCCUCACCUGCAUCCUUCUCAGUGCCCAGCACUGCGGGGCUGGGUGCUUCGGGGCUCAACCUGGCACGGCUCGGCACGGCGCGUGGCAGGGGGGCCGCACGGCACGGAGCCGAGCACGGUGCUGGCAGCGCUCCCGUCCCGCCCGGCCCCGGGGUGCCUGGCGAGCUUUCCACGCCGCCCCCCGGCACUAAUUGUUUUCCCUGGCGUGGGGAGACAGGUCGGGACACAUGUGCUGCAUCCGCCACAGUGCCGAGCACCGGGGCCACGCUCGUGCCUCCUAUCUCUGCGAUCUUGUCCCGCGUCCAGCGCUUUCUUCCCUCCUCAUCCCUCCUCGCCUUGGCACGGGGACAGAUCCUGUUGCCUCCCUUCCCGCAGCGGCCCGGGGGUGGAGGAGAGGUGGCGGGAGGCCAAGGUCUGCUUUGACAUGCUCGCACCACCCGCGCCCCGGGAAGGGUGGGGAGGAAGCGGGGCCGCGGGGCCCCCCCGGCAGAGCCCCAGCGAGCCCUCCUGGGGUCCCCAAGCCACCGCUCCCAUCCCCAGGCUGUCCCUGCACCGGUGGCUUCAUCCGUGCCAGCGGUGUGGUGCGCGAUGCCCACGUGCCCAGCUGCAGCUCGUGGCUCUUGCUGUCACCCGUGGGAUGUGGGAUGUGCCCGUGGCCCCCUGCCACCACAGGCAGGGCCUCCCCAAGUGUCCCCUCACGGCGGUGGCACCACGGGGCCCCCAGGCACUGGGCACGGCACGUCCCUGGCGCUGCCUCCCACCGCCGCCUGCCCAGGCGUCCAGCCCCGAGCACGGCACGGCCCCGGGGAUGGAGGGAGGACGCCGGGGUGGCCGGGGCAUGGCCGCAGCCGCCGGGGCUGCCUGUUUACAUGCCUGGGGAUCAUUGCCUGUCUCGCUCAGGUGCCUUGAAAGCCGCCGUCGCCGGGGCUCUAAGUACUAA